GUUCCCGGGCCUUGUACACACCGCCCGUCACACCAUGGGAGUGGGUUGCAAAAGAAGUAGGUAGCUUAACCUUCGGGAGGGCGCUUACCACUUUGUGAUUCAUGACUGGGGUGAAGUCGUAACAAGGUAACCG
rnacentral:rRNA from 1 species